CGAAAGGCACGCAACGAUCCACGAGGUCGUUUUAAAACCGUUGAUUUGUCAUCUAAUCGUUUAAUCUGGACCGUCCCAUCUUUCUAACCCUUUUGUAUAUAAAAAGGGAUAUGCUGUUCCUAGGGUUAUCUCAAUCCUCGCCUCGUUAGAGCCCGUUCUUCUUUUCUUUCUUUCAAUGUUUUCUUUAGAUCUCGCUGCUAUGGCGACGAAUCUUGCGUUUGCCGCGUUUACUUGUAAUAGAGAGCCUCCCGAUCUACACAUCGGUGUCGUUUUCCGAUCGAAUCCGUGAAUCCGGUGGUCAGAUCCGCCGCUUAUCACCUUCAAUCGUAGAUCUAAAGAUCUGGUGAUUGAAUCUUCCCGUGUGUCUUCGUCAGACGCGAGAUCCUAUCAGAUUCGUGUUGGUUCGAUUUGAGGCGCUUUGAGGCAUGGAUUUUUCUUGGAGACCAGAUCUUUUAAGGAGACGAUGGCUAUGGGAUUCAUGUGUGUUGAUUAAUAGGAUGUAUAAGAUGUUGUGGAAGCUCAUCUUUGUCAUCCGACCUUUGCCAUGUCAGGUGCGCUUGCAUGGCAGGUCAAAAACAGAUCCUCAAUAAAAAAAAUCUUUUGUGGUAUGGAGAGGAGAUCGCACGGGGUGAUUAUUAUUUUUUCCCCGGGUUCUCCUCUCCUCGUGUGCGUGUCUUGCUCUCUCUCUUUCGUUUACCUUCUAUUGCUUUAUUAUUAUUCAUACACCACAAAAUAACGUAUCAUCAUCACUUAAAAACGUGAUUAAGCGAUCCUUAUCAGAGCUUGUUAUCAACCAGCAGCCGUGGGCGAUUACCAAUCAAUCUCUUCCUUUGACGGAAAGGUAUAUCUUACAAUUAUAGUUUAGAUAAUCAUCCUCGUAUCAUAAUUUGCACAAACACAGCUAAAUACUUCAAUUAAUCAUCCUUUCUUUUUUAUAAUCUUGCUAAUUAUUGCAUAUUGAUUCAACAAAUUUUACUUUGUUCACCAAUUUUCUCGAGUUGAUCUCUUUUUUGGAGAAGUUUCAAUAUUGUCAAUGAUUGAUGAUAAUGUUGCAUAUGUUAUUGAAGUGGAACAAGUAUUCCCUUUUAUUUCGUAGGAUAUUUUAAUUCUCGUUAUGUACUGCUAAAUUAGAACGAUUGUAAAGCUGUAGAAAGAAUAUUUCGAUUUAUUUCUGUAAACAGCUAUCAACUUUAACUUCGCGAGGAGGAUAUUCGAGUAGAUGCUUUGAAUGGCAAGUUGAUUCCGCAAGAAAUGGUGGUCCUCUUUGAUGGUUAAAUUGUACUUCGAAGGUAUCUCAGAUGAAUCAAUUUAAAUGUUUUGUAUUCGUACUUAGCUCAGAAAACAUAAGCUUGGGUAUGUGUAAUUUUUAAUUUUGUUUUGAUUUGUUUUAACAGUUGAUCAACGAUUACGUUGUUAGAGUACAGAAAUUUGUUUGCUGAUAUAUUUUUUCAAAACCAGUUGCUGUUAUU